GGCGGACUGCUCAGUAACACGUGGACAACCUACCCUCGGGUCCGGCAUAAUCCUGGGAAACUGGGGAUAAUUCCGGAUAGGUCACAGAAGCUGGAAUGCUCUGUGGCCCAAAGCUCCGACGCCCGAGGAUGGGUCUGCGGCCUAUCAGGGUUGUAGUGGGUGUAAUGUACCUACUAGCCUAUGACGGGUACGGGUUGUGAGAGCAAGAGCCCGGAGAUGGAUCCUGAGACACGAAUCCAGGCCCUACGGGGUGCAGCAGGCGCGAAAACUUUACAAUGCGGGAAACCGUGAUAAGGGAAUCUCGAGUGCCAGCAUAUAAUGUUGGCUGUCCAGAUGCCUAAAAAGCAUCUGUUAGCAAGGGCCGGGCAAGACCGGUGCCAGCCGCCGCGGUAACACCGGCGGCCCGAGUGGUAACCGCUAUUAUUGGGUCUAAAGGGUCUGUAGCCGGCCAGGUAAGUCCCUUGGGAAAUCUGGCAGCUCAACUGUCAGGCUGCUAGGGGAUACUGUUUGGCUUGGGACCGGGAGAGGUGAGAGGUACCUUGGGGGUAGGGGUGAAAUCUUGUGAUCCUCGGGGGACCACCAGUGGCGAAGGCGUCUCAC
rnacentral:rRNA from 1 species